AUCUAACUGAAGAGUCUCAAAUAGGACGAAACGCGUAUCAUGGAU
rnacentral:hammerhead_ribozyme from 1 species